rnacentral:rRNA from 1 species
GACGAACGCUGGCGGCGUGGAUUAGGCAUGCAAGUCGAACGGUAUCAUCCUUUCGGGGGUGAGAGAGUGGCGAACUGGUGAGUAACACGUAGGUUAUCUACCCUCAAGACGGGGACAACCCAGGGAAACUUGGGCUAAUACCGGAUGUGAGCAACUUUUAGUUGUUUGAAGGGUGGCGUAAGCUGUCGCUUGGGGAUGAGCCUGCGUCCUAUUAGUUAGUUGGUGAGGUAACGGCUCACCUAGGCAAUGAUAGGUAGGCGGCCUUAACGGGUGGUCGCCCACACUGGGAUUGAGAUACGGCCCAGACUCCUACGGGAGGCAGCAGUCGAGAAUAGUCUACAAUGGUCGGAAGACUGAUAGUGCGACGCCGCGUGAACGAUGAAUCCCUUCGGGGUGUAAAGUUCUUUUAUAUGUGAGCAGUGCUUCUUAUACUAACAGUAUGGGGAGAGAGAUAUUAGCAUAUGAAUAAGCAACGGCUAACUCCGUGCCAGCAGCCGACGGUAAAA